rnacentral:rRNA from 1 species
UGAGUAUGCACUGGCUUCGCUGAUUCCUCCUUUCUGAAGAACUGUAAUGCCAUUAAUUUGGUGUUGCAGGGAAACAGGACUGUUACUUUGAAAAAAUUAGAGUGUUUAAAGCAGGCUAAGGCUUGAAUACAUUAGCAUGGAAUAAUGAAAUAGGACGUUCGAUCCUAUUUUGUUGGUUUCUAGGAUUGACGUAAUGAUUAAUAGGGAUAGUUGGGGGCAUUAGUAUUCAAUUGUCAGAGGUGAAAUUCUUGGAUUUAUUGAAGACUAACUACUGCGAAAGCAUUUGCCAAGGAUGUUUUCAUUAAUCAAGAACGAAAGUUAGGGGAUCGAAGACGAUCAGAUACCGUCGUAGUCUUAACCAUAAACUAUGCCGACUAGGGAUCGGAUGAUGUUAAUUUUUUAAUGACUCACUCGGCGCCUUACG